CCUACGGGUGGCAGCAGUGAGGAAUAUUGGUCAAUGGCCGGAAGGCUGAACCAGCCAAGCCGCGUGAAGGACGAAGGUGCCAAGCAUUGUAAACUUCUUUUGUCGGGGAACAAAGGGCGCCACGUGUGGCGUUGUGAGUGUACCCGAAGAAAAAGCAUCGGCUAACUCCGUGCCAGCAGCCGCGGUAAUACGGAGGAUGCUAGCGUUAUCCGGAUUUCUUGGGUUUAAGGGGUGCGUAGGCGGUCUGGAAAGUCAGCGGUAAAAGCUGGGGGCUCAACCCCGGCGAGCCGUUGAAACUGUCGGACUAGAGACGGCGAGAGGUACGCGGAAUGCGCGGUGUAGCGGUGAAAUGCAUAGAUAUCGCGCAGAACUCCGAUUGCGAAGGCAGCGUACCGGCGCCGGACUGACGCUGAGGCACAAAAGCGUGGGUAUCGAACAGGAUUAGAUACCCGAGUAGUC
rnacentral:rRNA from 1 species